rnacentral:rRNA from 1 species
CCUACGGGUGGCAGCAGUGGGGAAUAUUGCACAAUGGGGGAAACCCUGAUGCAGCGAAGCCGCGUGAGUGAAGAAGUAGCUCGGUAUGUAAAGCUUCAUUAGUAGGGAAGAAAAUGACGGUACCUGACUAAGAUUGCCUGUCUCACUACGUGCCAGCAGCCGUGGUAACAUGCAGGGGGCAAGCGUUAUACGGAUUUACCGGGUGUUAAGGGAGCGUAGACGGGCAGACAAGUCAGAAGUGAAAACCCGCGGCUCAACUGCGGGAGUGCUUUUGAAACCGUUUGGCUGGAGUGCAGGAGAGGUAAGUGGAAUUCCUGGUGUAGCGGUGAAAUGCGUAGAUAUUAGGAAGAACUCCGAUGGCGAAGGCGGCUUACUGGACUGUAACUGACGUUGAGGCUCGAAAGCGUGGGGAGCAAACAGGAUUAGAUACCCUUGUAGUC